rnacentral:rRNA from 1 species
CCUACGGGGGGCAGCAGUGGGGAAUAUUGCACAAUGGGGGAAACCCUGAUGCAGCGACGCCGCGUGAAGGAAGAAGUAUCUCGGUAUGUAAACUUCUAUCAGCAGGGAAGAAAACAGACGGUACCUGACUAAGAAGCCCCGGCUAACUACGUGCCAGCAGCCGCGGUAAUACGUAGGGGGCAAGCGUUAUCCGGAUUUACUGGGUGUAAAGGGGGCGCAGACGGCCAUGGCAAGCCCGGUGUGAAAGGCAGGGGCAUAACCCCUGGACUGCACUGGGAACUGUCAGGCUGGAGUGCCGGAGGGGUAAGCGGAAUUCCUGGUGUAGCGGUGAAAUGCGUAGAUAUCAGGAGGAACACCGGCGGCGAAGGCGGCUUACUGGACGGCAACUGACGUUGAGGCCCGAAAGCGUGGGGAGCGAACAGGAUUAGAUACCCUGGU